ensembl:miRNA
UCUUGGAGGGUUUGCUACAGUGCUUGCCCUUUUUAGUUGCUCUGUAGGAGUCCUCCUUGUU